AGGCAAUGGUAGGGGGUAGGGAUGGGCAGUUUGACCUCUGCCUGCCCACCUUCAGCAGCAGUGUGAGAUCCAACUGCUCAAGGAGCAUCUUCAGCUCAUGUCUUGUUUGCCUGACUCACUCCUUCUUCUUCAGCCAUGGGGAACCCCACCAUGAGGAAGAAAUCACUUGAGAGGCUAGUCUUGUUGGCUUCUGCCUGGUGGGGGGCCAGAGGGCCAGAAGCCAAGGCCAUUGGGUGACUACAGAAGCCAAUGGGGCUCUGGCCUCACAGCCAAUCAGAUGGGAAAGCUGAGGCACAAAGAGGUGGAGUGAACCAACCAUGGUCAUACAGCUAUAAGUAGCAGAGCUGGGAUUUGAAGACAGGUUAUCUGGCUCCAGAGUUGGUGGUUUCAGGGAUCCGAUCCUAGUGCAAGGACACACUGAGGAGGCACUAAAGGUUCAUAUUCAAGGCAGACUAUUUGAUCAACCACUGAAAUGAGAAGAGGCUAAGAGUGUACUGCACACAUGCUGUGGGAACAAAAACCUUCAGGAGUUGUUCUGCACUGACAUGACAAGAUGGAUUGGCUUGAGAAGAGGGGAGUCAGGGCUGAAAACUCCAUGGCCAGCAGACUUAGGUGUCUCCAGGGGACACCAGGCCUAAGAAGGUGUACUGUCAACAUUUAUUGUGAGUUUGGCACAUGCUGGGCUCUGUUCUAAGAAUUUACAUAUUUUAACACAGCCAAUGCUUAGAGCAACCCGAUGGAGCACCUUCAUUUUAAAGAUGAGAUGGGGGAAGUUCCCACUGUGGCUCAGUGGCAAAGAGCCCAACUAGUACCCAUGAGGAUGUGGGUUCGAUCCCUGGCCUCACUCAGUAGGUUAAGGAUCUGCCAUUUCUGUGAGCUGUGGUGUAGGUCGCAGAUGCAGCUCGGAUCCCACAUUGUGGUAGCUGUGGUGCAGGCUGGCAGCUGUAGCUGUGAUUGGACCCCAAGCCAGGGAACUUCCAUAUGCCACAGGAGCAGCCCCCAAAAACAAAAUAAAUAAAUAUAUACAUAUGAGGAGAUGGGAGAAUUCCCGCUGUGGUGCAGUAGGUUAAGGUUCAAUCCCCUGCCCAGCACAGUGGGUUAAAGGUCUGGCAUUGUCGCAGCGGUGGUGUAGGUUGCAGCUCCCAUUUGAAUUUUAUCACUAGCCCAGGAACUUCCAUAUGCCAAGACAGAGGCCAAAAAGAAAGAAAUAAUGAUGAAGAGAUGGGCAGAGUAUUUAAGGGACCUGGCCAAGGUCACACAGCUAAUGGUGGCCCAGGAUUAGGAACGUCAUAUCUGAGCAAUACUGCUGGAGUUUUAUUCCUUUUAUGUGAAAUGGAGUUGACGAUUGCUGGCUCUGAAACAUUUGUCACCAAGAACAUAAAUAUGAAAGGACUUUGGAAAACAGAUAGAAUCAUUCUAGUGCGGACUGGGGUUUGCCUUGUGCUAGUUCCAGGCUCAGGCAGAAGACCCAGAAUCCUCUGAUCUCUCACGUGUAGAAAAUUCUAUUUUUGAGAACCUUAAGCCUGAGUGUCCAGUUCAGAGACACCUAUGAAAGCCCCAUCUUAAGACCAGAUCCUCAGAAGAUGCCUGCAAUAGAGAAAUAGCCCUGGUUACAGAGACCAAUCCCACCAGUCACUAGCCGACAUGCAGUAGGAAGACUGCCAUCAAACAAGCAUCUCAGGACAGACUCCUACACAGCCUCGAGGAUGUUAAAACCAAAAAGGCAUUUGGCUCUUUCUCUGAAGGCAAUGGAACACACAGAGCGAAAAGCAAGGAGACACACAUGAAUGAAUAUAUGUACACAGAUAUGUAUUCUCACAGACAUGUCUGAAUAUGAACCUAGAUGCAUAUGUGUCAUAUAUCAAUGCAUGCGCACAAAUGGUUGGGGAAUGCUGGAAAAAUUACUGAGGGAAGAAUGGAAAUAAGUGGCAGCUUCUCAGGGCCAGAAAAAAAAAUGAAUUUAAGGAAAGGAUAGUAACAGGAAACAGUAGAAAGGUCAUGGGCUUUGGUGUCAGAUGACCUUGAGCUCCAGUCCUUACUCGGCCACAUAUUAACCACGUGACCUCAAGCAAGCUAGUUAGCCUCUUUGAGCUCUACUCUUCCAUCCUCUGAAAUGGGUAUAAAUAUUCUUACCCUAUAGAGUUUUGGGGAAGAGAAAACCUGGGGCCUGGCCCAUGGAAGUACCAAUAGAUACUGGGUUUUGUCCAUUGAGCUGAAGCUACUGGUAGGUGCUUGCCUUCUUCUGCAUCCUGAAGCCCAAUACGCUCUGGUGCUCUGAAGUGGCAGCACAUCUAAUGAUAGUCUUUCCUUCUCCAACAGUGGAUCUUGUAGAUGGCUCAGAGAUUUAAGGGGCCUCGAAAAUAAAGGGGGGGGGGCUGAAAAUCUCCCUCUCCAAUUAUGCUCUGUGAAGACAAAGUGAAAAUGAAACCAUAGCAGUCUACGAAGCAAGAAGUGAACCCUCGCCAGACAUCGAAUCUGCUGGUGCCUUGAUCUUGGACUUCUCAACUUCCAGAACUAUGAGAAAAAAUUUCCAUUGUUUAUAAGAUACGCAGUUUAUGUUGUUUUUAUUACAGCAGCCUAAGGAGACUGGGACUAGCUUGGGUCUGCUUCCUAAACUUAAAGAUUUUUGGGAGUUCCCGUCGUGGCACAGUGGUUAACGAAUCCGACUAGGAACCAUGAGGUUGCGGGUUCAGUCCCUGCCCUUGCUCAGUGGGUUAAGGAUCCGGCGUUGCCGUGAGCUGUGGUGUAGGUUGCAGACGCGGCUCGGAUCCCACGUUGCUGUGGCUCUGGCGUAGGCCGGUGGCUACAGCUCCGAUUCGACCCCUAGCCUGGGAACCUCCAUAUGCCGCGGGAGUGGCCCAAAGAAAUAACAAAAAGACAAAAAGAUUUUUGUUAUCUUAUCUUACUUUAUUUUAUUUUUGUUUUUAGGGCUGCACCCACAGCAUAUGGAAGUUCCCAGGCUAGGGGUCGAAUCGGAGCUGCAGCUGCUGGCCUAUAGCACAGUCACAGCAACGCCAGAUCCUUUAACCCACUGAGCGGGGCCAGGGAUCGGAACCCCCAUCCUCAUGGAUACUAGUCAGGUUCGUUUCUGCUGAGCCACAACAGGGAAUCCUAGAGACAUUUUAGAACUGACUUUUUCCCACACUGGUUUGCCUGCUGUACUGAAUUCUGCAAGUAAUGGGCCCCAGGAAACCAGAUUUUGACUUAUUGCACCAAGUUGGUGUGGUCUUGGUGCAAUAAGUCAAAAUCCAGAGCCACAAGAUGACUGGCUGGUUCCAGAUCUCCAGUAUGCCCAUACCUACAUCCCUGCGGUCCAACUGUGAUCCCCACUCCCAGGUGAAAAGCACUUUGCACUGGAAUCUCCACCUUGGAGGUGAGCUGUGUCCAUGCCCAUCACCUGUGCUCACCUGGCCUGCUUGGUCUCAUCUCUCCCCAUGGAGAUCUUCACCCUCCUGCUUCCAGGAGGCCCCCUCUUGGGUGGUGCCCCACCAGGGCUGUGCUCUUUGGUUGGGGCUGGACAGGUGAUGAGAAGCUGGGUGGACACUCCAGUUCUGUCCCUGGUUGAUAUUUUCCCCACCUCAUUCCACCCAGAACAUCUGUUCAUAUUGUUUAUUGAGUGACCACAAGAGUUUGGAUGACAUCUUCCUGGCCAUGGGACAAACUGGGAACUUGGCCAGCCUUUCAACUGGACUCUUCCCACGUUUUCCAUUUUUUCUCUCUCUUCUGUUUUCUUUGUGCUCUUCUCCUGUCUUUUCUCUGCAACUUCAGACUCUCAUGUGCCCUAAUCCCCCUUUCACACCCCCAUGACCCCCUGCUAUGUAUGACAUCUCACCCAGGCCUACCCUUACCUGUAAUUCCUCAUCCAAAGUUACCCUUCCAUCUACCUGAACAACCAAGACCUCUGCUACUCUAGGUUAGACAUUAGGAAGAAAGCAAGCUGAUCUAGCCUAUGUUUGGGAAUCACGUAGCUGCCUUUAAAUUAGCCAUGGCUGGUUUGCUAGCUCUAUGACUUGAGAUAAGAUAUUUAGGAGUUCUCAUUGUGGCUCAGUGGUAAAGAACCUGACUAGUAUCCAUGAGGACAUGGAUUCGAUCCCUGGCCUUGCUCAGUGGGUUAAGGAUCUGGCGUUGCUGUGAACUGUGGUGUAGAUCAUAGACAUAGCUUGGAUCCCCAGUUACUGUGGCUGUGGUGUAGGCAGGUGGGCAGCUGCAUCUCUGAUUUGACCUAUAACCUGGGAACUUCCAUAUGCUUCAGAUGUGGCCCUAAAAAAGACAAAAAAAAAAAAAAAA
rnacentral:lncRNA from 1 species